rnacentral:rRNA from 1 species
UGGGGAAUAUUGGACAAUGGGCGAAAGCCUGAUCCAGCGACGCCGCGUGGGUGAAGAAGGCCUGCGGGUUGUAAAGCCCUUUCGGUAGGGACGAAAGCUCUCGACCUAACACGUCGGGAGGUUGACUUAACCUACAAAAGAAGCACCGGCUAACUCUGUGCCAGCAGCCGCGGUAAUACAGAGGGUGCGAGCGUUAAUCGGAAUUACUGGGCGUAAAGCGCACGUAGGCGGCUUGGUAUGUCGGGUGUGAAAUCCCCGGGCUCAACCUGGGAACUGCAUCCGAAACUGCCUUGCUCGAGUAUGGGAGAGGGAAGUGGAAUUUCCGGUGUAGCGGUGAAAUGCGUAGAUAUCGGAAGGAACAUCAGUGGCGAAGGCGACUUCCUGGACCAAUACUGACGCU